rnacentral:rRNA from 1 species
GACGAACGCUGGCGGCGUGCUUAACACAUGCAAGUCGAACGGAAAGGCCCUGCUUUUGUGGGGUGCUCGAGUGGCGAACGGGUGAGUAACACGUGAGUAACCUGCCCUUGACUUUGUGAUAACUUCAGGUAACUGGGGCUCAUACCGGAUAUGAGCUCCUGCUGCAUGGUGGGGGUUGGAAAGUUUCGGCGGUUGUGGAUGGACUCGCGGCUUAUCCGCUUGUUGGUGUGGUAGUGGCUUACCAAGGCUUUGACGGGUAGCCGGCCUGAGAGGGUUACCGGCCACAUUGGGACUGAGAUAGGGCCCAGACGCCUACGGGAGGCAGCAGUGGGGAAUAUGGCACAAUGGGCGGAAGCCUGAUGCAGAAACGCCGCGUGCGGGAUGACGGCCUUCGGGUUGUAAACAGCUUUCGACUGUGACGAAGCGUGAGUGACGGUAAUGGGUAAAGAAGCACCGGCUAACUACGUG